ACCUGGGUGGCUCAGUCGGUUGAGCGUCUGACUUCGGCUCAGGUCAUGAUCUCGCGGUUCGUGGGUUUGAGCCCCGCGUCGGGCU
rnacentral:tRNA from 1 species